AAGACUAUACUUUCAGGGAUCAUUUCUAUAGUUUGUUAAGUUAAAUUUCUUCUAAAAUUGGAAGACAUUUUAACAG
rnacentral:snoRNA from 1 species